UACCAAGCCUGGUACCACCUUCCACCAUGUAGAUAGUGCUACCAUGAUGCUGCACCCAGGUUCUUGGAGAAGAAGCUGCUGCAAAUAUUCACAGGACUCUGUGAUUUGAGAGUGACGAUAAUGUCAAGCUCUGUGAUGUGCUGGGUUUAUGGGACCUUGCUGGAAAGGCUGCAGUCCUGCUGGAAGGUCAGAGCUGSUGCUUGGAGCCCAUCACCCAAGUCCUUCCUACAUGUGAGGCUACAUCCCUGUCUGCCGACUUGCCAUCCUCCUUGAGGAACACCCUACCUGCAAGUUAGGCUAAUGCCAUGUCUCAAGAGAACAGUAAAGAUCUACCAUAACUUUUUUUUAUCUGCUGUGCACCAGACUUGACAAUGUCUCAAGAGCAGGCUACAGAAGAACAAUGUGUCCCCCCRCCAAAGAAAUAUGGUAAUGUCUACGAAAUAUCUAUGAUUUCCACCUUGCGGAAAUAGUGUGGCUGGAGCCAUUGCCAUCGGGGUCCUUCUUGCCCCAGAUGUAGCAACUCCUCCUUCGCCUGCCUUCAAAGAGGUUUUGUGCCAUCGCSAAGUCUCCAAUUUGGAGAGUUCCACACUUGCUUUACACCAAAGCACAGAGGAAACAUCAGCAAUCUGGGUUGCCAUGGUCUAUUUGGAAUCAGUUCACAUUUUAUGUGAUGGGUUGUCCUGCACAUUCUCUUUUUAAUUCCAUAAAAGUCACWUGGAUGCUAUCAAAGCAUCUUGCUGAUAAGGAAGAAUCAAAAGAUCCUUCUGAUCCAUAGAAUUUACACCCUUAACUGUUUGUGCCUAGAGAGACACAGGGUGAAUGCUGUUUCCCACAGCAUGUGCACAGCAAAGGAGGCUGGCUGUGAAACUAAUGCUGCUUUUAAGGAAGAUUAUGCUCCAGCUGUAGGCUAACAGCUCUUGGCUUGGUGAUAACCAGAGUAUUGUAAAUAAUAGCAGAUUAGCAAGUCUGUUAAUGCUUCAGACUCCU